AUUGAACGCUGGCGGCAGGCCUAACACAUGCAAGUCGAGCGGAUGAAGGGAGCUUGCUCCUGGAUUCAGCGGCGGACGGGUGAGUAAUGCCUAGGAAUCUGCCUGGUAGUGGGGGAUAACGUCCGGAAGCGGGCGCUAAUACCGCAUACGUCCUGAGGGAGAAAGUGGGGGAUCUUCGGACCUCACGCUAUCAGAUGAGCCUAGGUCGGAUUAGCUAGUUGGUGGGGUAAAGGCCUACCAAGGCGACGAUCCGUAACUGGUCUGAGAGGAUGAUCAGUCACACUGGAACUGAGACACGGUCCAGACUCCUACGGGAGGCAGCAGUGGGGAAUAUUGGACAAUGGGCGAAAGCCUGAUCCAGCCAUGCCGCGUGUGUGAAGAAGGUCUUCGGAUUGUAAAGCACUUUAAGUUGGGAGGAAGGGCAGUAAGUUAAUACCUUGCCGUUUUGACGUUACCAACAGAAUAAGCACCGGCUAACUUCGUG
rnacentral:rRNA from 1 species